rnacentral:rRNA from 1 species
GAGUUUGAUCCUGGCUCAGAACGUACGCUGGCGGCACGCCUAACACAUGCAAGUCGAACGAAGUAGCAAUACUUAGUGGCAGACGGGUGAGUAACAUGUAGGUAUCUGCCCUUUGGCCUGGAAUAACACGAGGAAACUUGUGCUAAUACCGGAUAAGUCUUUACGGAGAAAGCUUUAUGCACCAUUGGAUGAGCCUGCACUUGAUUAGUUUGUUGGUGGGGUAAUGGCCUACCAAGACUGUGAUCAAUAGCUGAUUUGAGAGGAUGAUCAGCCACAUUGGGACUGAGACACGGCCCAAACUCCUACGGGAGGCAGCAGUGGGGAAUCUUGCACAAUGGAGGAAACUCUGAUGCAGCGAUGCCGCGUGAGUGAAGAAGGCCCUUGGGUUGUAAAGCUCUUUCGUCGGGGAAGAAAAUGACUGUACCCGAAUAAGAAGGUCCGGCUAACUUCGUGCCAGCAGCCGCGGUAAUACGAAGGGACCUAGCGUAGUUCGGAAUUACUGGGCUUAAAGAGUUCGUAGGUGGUUGAAAAAGUUAGUGGUGAAAUCCCAGAGCUUAACUCUGGAACUGCCAUUAAAACUUUUCAGCUAGAGUAUGAUAGAGGAAAGCAGAAUUUCUAGUGUAGAGGUGAAAUUCGUAGAUAUUAGAAAGAAUACCAAUUGCGAAGGCAGCUUUCUGGAUCAUUACUGACACUGAGGAACGAAAGCAUGGGUAGCGAAGAGGAUUAGAUACCCUCGUAGUCCAUGCCGUAAACGAUGUG